rnacentral:rRNA from 1 species
AUUGAACGCUGGCGGCAGGCCUAACACAUGCAAGUCGAGCGGAUGAAGGGAGCUUGCUCCUGGACUCAGCGGCGGACGGGUGAGUAAUGCCUAGGAAUCUGCCUGGUAGUGGGGGAUAACGUCCGGAAACGGGCGCUAAUACCGCAUACGUCCUGAGGGAGAAAGUGGGGGAUCUUCGGACCUCACGCUAUCAGAUGAGCCUAGGUCGGAUUAGCUAGUUGGUGGGGUAAAGGCCUACCAAGGCGACGAUCCGUAACUGGUCUGAGAGGAUGAUCAGUCACACUGGAACUGAGACACGGUCCAGACUCCUACGGGAGGCAGCAGUGGGGUAUAUUGGACAAUGGGCGAAAGCCUGAUCCAGCCAUGCCGCGUGUGUGAAGAAGGUCUUCGGAUUGUAAAGCACUUUAAGUUGGGAGGAAGGGCAGUAAGUUAAUACCUUGCUGUUUUGACGUUACCAACAGAAUAAGCACCGGCUAACUUCGUG